rnacentral:lncRNA from 1 species
UUUUCUCUUUUUAGUACCCAAUCCCCCUUUUCUUUGUGAUCGAUUUUGGCUUUUUAAAACCGAUCUAUAAAACAUUCAUUUCCUAUUUUUUGUUUUCGUUCUUUUGUUUAUUCUUUUCCCCAUUCCUCGCAUGCUUCCUUUUGCUGUUGUUUUUGUCUCUGUUGCAGGUGUGUCCGGUGUGGGUGGUGCACGUGAUGGCCAAGGGCAGAGGUAGCAUGGGGCGACUGAUCAGAGGCGUGCAUGCGUGAGGGGAGGUGAAGCGGCGGCAGCUACAAAGCAUGAGGCUAGGGUUUUUUUGUUUGGUUGAAAACUAGUAUAGUUUGGGCCAUUCGGGCCUCUAAGGUUUUUAUCAUUAUUAGGCAUUUGGAUUGGGUUUGUUUUUUGGGUUAAUUUUGUUGUAAUGGUCUGUUAAUUUUUAUUAGUCUUGGUCCAUUUGGGUUUUAUGGUCUGGGCCUGGGCAAAAAUGGGCUUUUACAGCUGCCCCUCUUUGCUCAUUUUCGUGUAACGAGAAUAGAGCAAAGACAUCAAAAGGGCCAAUUUUGCCCGGCCUUGCCGAGUCUUGACUUUUUGGUGCUCAUCUUUUUUAAGUAGCCUUAUUCCAGCCUGCUACGUCUUGUUGCUUCGAUCCACUCUACUGCAACUUCAGAUACGCCUUGUAGCUUCAAUCUACUCUGCUACGACUCCAUGGGGAUGAGAUUUGUGUUUUUAGUGUGCUCCACUACUAUUUAGGGAGAUAAGACUGGAUGUGAUCUGCUCCACUACUACUUAGGGAGAUAAGACUGUAAUCUUCAAUCUAUUCCACUGCCAAAUACAGGGAGAUAGAGUUAUCAGCUUCAAUGUACUCCACUGUAGUUACAGGAAGGUAAAAUCUGCCAUCUUCGAUCUACUCCACCACUAGUAUGGGAAGACAAGAUCUGUAUCUUGGAUCCACUUCCUAUCAAUAUAGGAAGAUAGGACCUGCUAUCUUCGAUCUACUUCACGCCAAUACAUGAAGACAAGAUCUGCUUUCUGCGAUCUACUUCGCCACCAAUAUGGGAAGACAAGAUCUGCAUCUUCGACCCACUUCCUAUCAAUAUAGGAAGAUAGGACCUGCUAUCUUCGAUCUACCUCACGCCAAUACAUGAAGACAAGAUCUGCUUUCUGCGAUCUACUUCGCCACCAAUAUGGGAAGACAAGAUCUGCAUCUUGGAUCCACUUCCUAUCAAUAUAAGAAGAUAGGACCUGCUAUCUUCGAUCUACUUCACGCCAAUACAUGAAGACAAGAUCUGCUUUCUGCGAUCUACUUCGCCACCAAUAUGGGAAGACAAGAUCUGCGUCGUCGAUCCACUUCCAAUCAUUAUAGAAAGAUAGGACCUGUUAUCUUUGAUCUACUUCACGCCAAUACAUGAAGACAAGAUCUACUUUCUGCGAUCUACUUCGCCACCAAUAUGGGAAAACAAGAUCUGCAUCUUGGAUCCACUUCCUAUCAAUAUAGAAAGAUAGGACCUGCUACCUUCGAUCUACUUCACGCCAAUACAUGAAGACAAGAUUUGCUUUCUUCGAUCUACUUCGCCACCAAUAUGGGAAGACAAGAUCUGCAUCUUCGAUCCACUUCCUACCAAUAUAGGAAGAUAGGACCUGCUACUUUCGAUCUACUUCACGCCAAUACAUGAAGACAAGAUCUGCUUUCUUCGAUCUACUUCGCCACCAAUAUGGGAAGACAAGAUCUGCAUCUUCGAUCUACUUCGCCACCAAUAUGGGAAGACAAGAUCUGCAUCUUCGAUCCAUUUCCUACCAAUAUAGGAAAACCGGAUCAGCUAUCUUCGACCUACUUCACGCCAAUACAUGAAGACAAGAUCUGCUUUCUUCGAUCUACUUCGCCACCAAUAUGGGAAGACAAGAUCUGCAUCUUCGAUCUACUUCGCCACCAAUAUGGGAAGACAAUAUCUGCAUCUUCGAUCCACUUCCUACCAAUAUAGGAAAACCGGAUCAGCUAUCUUCGACCUACUUCACGUCAAUACAUGAAGACAAGAUCUACUUUCUUCGAUCUACUUCUUGUCCCGGGAGAUAGAACUAUCAGCUUCAAUGUACUCCACUGUGGUCAGGGAGGUAAAAUCUGCCAUCUUUUGAUCUGCUUCGCUGCCAAAUACAGGAAGGCAAGAUCUGCAAUCUUCAAUCUAUUCCACUGCCAAAUACAGGGAGAUAGAGUUAUCGGCUUCAAUGUACUCCACUGUAGUCACAUGGAGGUAAAAUCUGCCAUAUUUGAUCUUCAAUCUAUUCCACUGCCAAAUGCAGGGAGAUAGAGUUAUCGGCUUCAAUAUACUCCACUGUAAUCAGGGAGGUAAAAUCUGCCAUCUUUGAUCUGCUUCGCUGUCAAAUUCAGGAAGGCAAGAUCUGCAAUCUUCAAUCUGCUCUGCUACAAACGAGAGAGGCAAGGUUUGUCUUUGAUUUUUACUGAUCUGUUCUCUAGGGAACAUGACCUGUAUAAUGAACCUAAUUAUGCCUAAUGAUUAGGAUGGCAUGAUCAGAAUGGAUCAAAUGUUCCUAACUAGAUGUGCGUGAAUGACAUUUGAAUGAAUGCAGAAUGUCAUGAAAAUGAUUCCUUAAUGCUUAGGUUGUCAUUCCUCAUUGUUCAUCAAGGUUCUAUCACUGAUGCCUUCUUGUUCAGCCAGUACCUUUGAUAGAAAACCUAAAGAAAUAGACGCUAUUUAGACUAUCAUUUCUCAAAUGUUUCCAACCCUUAGGUUUGGUUAGUUCUAAACAAUAGUCUUGUUUCAGGUCCUCGUAUUAUUUAGAAACUUUCAGAGUAAUAUGCAGAACUCCUUCUGCCUGUGUAUUGUCAGUCCAUUAAUCGUUAUUUCAAUGAAAAAUGCUUGAAAAAGAUUAUCAAAAUGGACAAAAUGAAAUUUUGUUGAGAGCAAAGCUCUUAAACAAACAAAUCAAUCAAGAUAGCAAAUUUUGCUGAGAUACGAGAUGAAUAAGAUGAAAAAGAUUAUCACAAUGGAUAAGACGAAAAUUUGUUGAGAGCAAAGCUCUAAAUGAACAAAUUAAUCAAGAUAGCAAAUUUUGCUAAAGUACAGAACGAGGAUAAAUUAAUCAAGAUGAUGUAUUUUGUCAAAAAUACAAAAAAUGAAUAAAAUGGAAAUAGGUGCCCCAGAUAUCGUAGCAUGAGCUUCUCUGCCCCAAACUUCUUAAGGACCCUUUUGAACUUGAUAUGUGUUUAGAAGUCCUAGAAGGCUUUGUUGAUGCCCCAUCUUUGAUCGAAAACUACUUUAUGCCUCAUCUUUGAUCGAAAAUUUGAAUUGCCCAUUCCUGGGUUUUCAAUUCAAAACCCCUUUGGUCUCAAGGUGCCCUUUGCGGGUUUUCGCCUUGGCCUCUCCUUUUUUUUUUUAGGCAAAGUACCUCUUCACUGAAUCCGAAUUCACAGGAUUGGGCAAGCUUUUGCCAUCCAUCCCAGUUAAAAUUAAUGCCCCUCCUGAAAAGGCCUUUUUUACUACAUAAGGUCCCUCCCAGUUUGGCAUCCACUUUCCUCUGAAGUCUUUUUGUAUGGGAAGGAUCUUCUUCAGUACCAAAUCCCCUUCAUGGAAGUUUCUAGGACGAACUUUCUUAUUGUAAGCUCGCAUCAUUUGUUUCUGGUACAUUUGACCAUGACGGAUAGCUCUUAACCUCCUUUCUUCAAUCAAGUUCAGCUGAUCAUAUCGGGAUUGGACCCAUUCUGCUUCGUCUAACUUUAGUUCUGAAAAAACUCGGAGGGAGGGAAUUUUAACCUCAAUUGGUAGCACUGCCUCCAUUCCAUAAACCAAAGAGAAUGGUGUUGCCCCGGUAGAAGUCCUGACGGACGUUCGAUAAGCAUAGAGGGCGAAUGGCAACUUCUCGUGCCAAUCUCUAUAGGUCUCAGUCAUUUUCUCCACAAUCCUUUUGAUAUUUUUAUUGGCUGCCUCCACCGCACCAUUCAUCUUUGGACGGUAUGGUGAUGAGUUGUGGUGCUUGAUAUUGAAUUGACUACAAACCUCUACUAUCGUGCUAUUAUUCAAAUUUAAUGCGUUGUCAGAUAUAAUCCUUUCGGGCAUUCCAUACCGACAUAUGAUUUCCUUUUUUAAAAACCUGCUGACAGCUGCCUUUGUGACGUUCGCGUAAGAAGUAGCCUCUACCCACUUAGUAAAGUAGUCAAUCACUACAAAAAUGAAACGAUGUCCGUUUGAAGCCUUUGGCGAUAUCAGCCCAAUGACGUCCAUGCCCCACAUGGAGAAAGGCCAUGGGGAAGUCAUGACGUGAAGAGGUGAUGGAGGCACAUGGAUUUUGUCUCCGUAAAUCUGGCAUUUAUGGCACUUCUUAGCAUAUUUGAUGCAGUCUCCUUCCAUGGUAGACCAAUAAUAUCCAAAUCUCAUGAUUUGUCUGGCCAUUGUGAAACCGUUAGCGUGUGUUCCACAAAUACCAUCAUGGACUUCUUCCAAGAUCUGUUUGGCCUCCACAGCGUCCACACAUCUUAACAGCACCUGAUCUUUUCCUCCUUUGUACAGGAUCUCUCCAUCUAAGACGUAAUCACUGGCCAGCCUCCUCAACAUUCUCUUGUCAUUCUCAGUUGCUUGGUUUGGGUAUUCACGAUUUUUCACGUAUCGCAAUAUGUCCUGGUACCAAGGGUUGUCGUCCUUUUCUUCUUCCUUGUCAAUGUUACAACAGUGGGCUGGAGCAUCAUAAAUGCUCAUUUGGAUAGGUUUCACAUCCUCUGGUCUAUUUACUUUGAUCAUGGAAGCUAAUGUAGCUAAAGCGUCAGCCAUCUGAUUCUCGUCUCGUGGGAGGUAACAAAAAGUGAUGUCGUCAAACUCCUCAAUCAAUUCUAGGACUAUCAUUCGGAAACUAAUCAACUUAGGGUCUCUUGUUUCCCAUUCGCCUUUGAGCUGAUAAAUUACCAAUGCCGAAUCCCCACAUACCUCAAGUACCUUGAUUUUGCGUUCCAUAGCCGCACGGAUUCCCAUUAUACAUGCUUCAUAUUUCGCCAUGUUAUUUGCGUAAUCAAAAUCUAGUUUACUGGUGAAAGGAUAAUGAUCACCGUUUGGAGAUACCAAGACUGCCCCAAUCCCGUUGCCCAUGGCAUUUGAGGCUCCGUCAAAAUUUAAUUUCCAAGUAUUGCCUUCUUGUGUGCUUGCUUCAGUAGUUGCCACAUACAUCAGAUCCUCAUUUGGGAAAUCAAAGUUCAAAGGCUCAUAAUCGUCCAGGGUUCUACUUGCUAGAAAAUCUGCUAUCGCGCUCCCUUUUACAGCCUUUUGAUUCACAUAGGUUAUGUCAAAUUCAGAUAGUAGAAUUUGCCAUCGGGCCAUCCUUCCGUUUAGAGCAGUUGACUCCAUCAUGUAUUUCAGAAGGUCUAACUUUGAGAUUAACCAAGUCGUAUGGUACAACAUGUAUUGUUUCAAUCUCCGAGUAGUCCAAACCAAUGCGCAACAUAAUUUUUCAAUUGGCGAAUAUCUCGUUUCGUAUUCAGUGAACUUCUUACUGAGAUAAUAGAUCGCUCUUUCCUUUCGUCCUGACUCAUCAUGUUGGCCGAGCACGCACCCCAUAGAAUUCUCAAAUACUGCCAAGUAUAGUAUCAGUGGCUUGUCAGGGCAAGGUGGCAUCAGUACUGGGGCGUUGGACAAGUAAUGUUUAACUCUUUCGAAAGUUUUCUGGCACUCUUUAUCCCAUACACCUGGAUUGUGUUUCCUACGAAGACGGAAUAUGGGGUCACAUUUCUUAGUUAAUUGUGAAAUGAAUCGAGCGAUGUAAUUUAGUCUUCCUAGGAAACCCCGAACUUCUUUUUGAGUACUUGGCGGAGAUAAUUCUUGUAUGGCCUUAACUUUGUCUGGGUCAAUUUCAAUUCCUUUUUCGCUGACUAAGAAUCCUAGCAAUUUUCCUGAUCUAGCCCCGAAAGUACACUUGGCUGGGUUAAGUUUUAGCUGGAACUUCCUUAACCUUAGAAACAGUUUUCUCAGAACUUGCACGUGUUCCCCUUCUGUUCUGGAUUUUGCGAUCAUAUCAUCAACAUAAACUUCUAUCUCUUUAUGCAUCAUAUCAUGGAAUAAUGCUACCAUGGCUCUCUGAUACGUUGCUCCCGCAUUUUUCAAUCCAAAAGGCAUCACUUUAUAACAAAACGUCCCCCACAUCGUUAUGAAUGUGGUAUUCUCCCUGUCUUCAGAAAGCAUCUUAAUUUGGUUGUACCCGGAGAAACCAUCCAUGAAAGAGAACAGUGAGUAUCCGGCCGUGUUGUCUACCAAGGUAUCGAUAUGAGGCAGUGGGAAAUUAUCUUUUGGGCUGGCUUUGUUCAAGUCUCUGUAGUCCACACACAUUCGCACCUUCCCAUCUUUCUUAGGAACAGAGACUAUAUUGGCUACCCAUUCUGAGUACUUGACCACCUGUAAGAAACCAGCAUCAAAUUGCUUCUUAACUUCUUCCUUUAUUUUUAGCAAGACAUCAGGCCUCAUCCUUCGGAGCUUUUGUUGGACUGGUUUGCAUUCUUCUUUUAUAGGCAAUCGGUGUACCACGAUAUCAGUACUUAACCCUGGCAUAUCUUGGUAGGACCACGCGAAGACAUCUUUAAACUCUUGAAGCAACUCAACAAGGUCUUGCCUUGUUUCCUUGGCAAUGCAAGCGCCAAUUUUUACCUCUCUGCCCUCUUCUAAGAUCACAACUUCUACUGAUUCCUUAUAGGGUAGAAUUUGUUUUUCUUCUUCUUCCAUCAUUCUUAACAAAUCCGGAGAUAAAACGCUGUCUUGGUCACCUUCAAAAUCUUGAGGAUCAUCUAUACUCAUGUCUUGCUCAAAUAGGGACUCUGAAUUAGUAACAGAGUCACUCAUCUCGUUGAUAUCUGAAGACCUGUUAUUGGAACAAAUGGAGGCCCAAAUAAAAGGAUCUAAGAAUACUUGUAUGCAUAUUAUGAUUAUAAAGGGAAUGAAAAGAAUGAAAGAAUAUUUGCUCAAGAUGAAACUGAAUGAUAAGUUUUCACUGAAAUUAGAUUUUGGACAUGUGCCUUUUACAAAAGAUUCUUAUCACCCCCAGGCUUAGGGCAACACGUGUUCUGAAUAUUACUCUAGAUUAGCUCUAAAAAUACAGGGAUCUCUUCCACAGUCCCAUUGUUCAAAACACUCCUAAAUAUGCAAAAGUUUGGAGACUUUUAUUCCUCAGUUCCCUUUUCGGAUAUAUCAUUGAAAUUCCUCGAUAUUCCUUUCAGGCUUUUGACUUGUUCAAGGCAUUACAACUCUUUGCUCAUUAUCGUGUAACGUAAAGAUGCCUAGUCAUUUGACUUUUGUCGGUUUCCAAGUUAACUGGGAUAAUUUUACCUAAUUAGGGUCCUUUUAGGGAAAGUCUAAUGCAAAAUAAAGCAAUGCAAUGCAAAUGCAUGAAAUGAAUGCAAAAGAAAGGAAGGCGUUGAUUCUAAAUUUAAUUCUAUUAGAAUAAUUUUUCUAAAAAAUAGAUUUUUUUACAUGAAAAUAGUUUACAUAUGUGGUAUUGCCCUUCAUAGUCCAAGUAAACGCUGAUAUUUUCUUCAUGGUUAAACCCUGUAAAUUCUCCAAAAGAUGCAUUUGCUAGCUCCUUACUGCUUAAUCUGAGCCUCGAUCUCUUGCUCGCUUAUCUUCAAGAUACUCAUCAAAAAGUGCCAGCUCUUGGAUAAUCUUCGUUGGCAAUUAAAUCAAGUCAUGUAUUCCUUCGUGGACUUCCGGCUUUCUCUCGUCAUGCCUUCGUUGGCUUGAAUCUCUAGAAAUUACAUUAUGUAUUCCUCCGUGAACUACCAGCUUUCUCUCAUCGUGUUUACUCAGACUAUAUUCAGACGACCGCACUAUAAUCCACUUUAUCAAGAAAUUCGCUUCCUUAUGACAAACUAUUCUAUUUAGGAAUCGAAUUUCGAAUCAACACAUUCUUUUCUUUGAUGUAAUGCAAAUACAUGAAUGCAAAAAAAAAGGAAGACAUUGAUUCUGAAUUUAAUUUCAUUGGAACAACUUUUCUAGAAAACAAAUUCCUUUACAUAAAACGGACUACAUACACGGUCUUUCUCUCAUAUUCCAAGUGAAGACACCUUUCUUCCUCUUCAUAUCUGGAUCUUAUGGUCGAGUCUGACGAAUUCUCCAAGAGAUGUCUAUAUUAACUCCUUUUUUGCUUGAUCCAGGCUGCGACUCGUUGCUCACUUAUUUCUAUGAUACUUUUCAGCUCUUUUAAGAAAGUCAAGACAUGACAGCUCUCGAAUAAUCUUUGUUAGUUUCUGUCUUUAGGCAAUGAAGCAAAGUCUUGUAUUUCUUCACGGACUAUCAGCCUUCUUUCAUGUAUUCACUUGGACCAUAUUUAGACAACCGUGUUAUAAUCCACUUUAUCAAAAAAAAUUGUUUUCUUAUGACAAACUGUUCUAUUUAGCAAUCAAAUAUGAAUCAACACCUCCUUCCUAGGAUGAUGUAAUACAAUGCAAUUAUAAACAAAAAAAACAAAACACGUUAGUGCAGAAUAAAUAACAAAUAAAGCAAUUCGGGUGACCACUAGGGGUUUGGAGUGGCUCUACGUAGGGUAGGCUCCUAGGUCUCUCUAUAUGUGGUUUGGUUCUUGAGUAAGGGUACCUGAACCAACAGAUUCCUCGAUCCUCACCCAUUAUAGGCUCAUAUGGACCGAGUUCAGUUCAGGGGAAUACAUUUCCCUAUGGCCAUGCGGAGAUGAAAAUCUCACGAAGACAUAGGUACGGAUGUAUCCCGGAAGCGAUUCACUAUCCCAUGCGGAGGUGAAAACCUCACGAAGGCGUAGUUUCUCACUCCCACUAAAAAGGGUAUGACCAGCGGUCAUGCAAUGUAAUGUGCGAAGGUAUAAAAUAAAAUACAGAACACGAUAAAAAAUAUAACUCAGAACAAAAGAGAUGCAAUGAGAGGAUCGUAAAUUUAAAUCGAAUUUUCAACUUUCGACAAAAGACAAGAAAUAAUCAACACGUGGCUUGACUCUCUUAUUGUCCCCAGUGGAGUCGCCAAGCUGUUGACACCAUUUUUUUGUUAAAAAACGGGGUCGACUUGGAUUUUGAAAAAAAGAAUGAAAACGGGAGUCGCCACCAAUCCUUUUUUGAUGAGGUGUGAUCAGGUCACCUCAAAAAGUGGUUGUUUUUAAUAAAUGAUUUAAUUUUAUUAAAACAACGAUUUUGGUCUACGAAAUUUAGAAAAAUGAGUUCGGGAAUCGGUUACGCACGAGGAAGGAUUAGCACCCUCGACACGCCCAAAAUUGGUACCUUAGUUGAUUACAUAAUGUCUUAAUGUCGAAAAUUGAGAAUUUUGAAAAUUUUUAAAAAUUUUUACGAUCCUUAUAUUAAAACAUAAAAAAAAAUUCAGGAAAAGGGACAUAUUUCACGUUAUCUGAGAAAAAAAGAAUCAUAUCCAGUAAGUUAGGACACAAUGUCUCGAAUUCCCGAUAUCGUUUAAAACUCGAAUUUGAAAAGAUUCAUGUAAUAAAGUUUAAAAGAAUAUUCAAUUGUUUAAAUCAAAUAAAGAAAUCGCAACCCAAUACGUUAGGGCACAAUUUCUCAAAAUAUUAAACAUUGAAUAUUGCAUUUAUUUCGAAAAAUCCUUGUCUCGAGAAAGCAACGUGUCACAUCCAAUGCGUUAGGACACAACAUAUUAAAUUCUUGAUAACGAGCUUUUUAUCAUUUUUUUAAAGAGUAAUCUCGAUUAUUUAAAUUCAACGAAGAAAGUCGGAACCCAAUGCAUUAGGGCUCGAUUCUCUCGAAGAUCUAAAUAUCGAAUAUUACUUUUAUUUUAAAAUUUCAUUUUUGGCCAAUCCGAUUGAAAAGAUACGAUGUGACAACAAUGAUGAUAAUGUAAGUAAAAUAACACGAGCAAAACAUAAGAUAAAUAAAUAAUAAAACGAAGAAAACAAUCAAAAAGGCACAAUAACAAAUAAUAAACAAAUAAAAACUAAAACAUGAAUAACAAGCAUUUAAACAAAUAAAUAAAUGAACAAAAUGAUCCAAAAAAAAAUUAUGAAAAGUUAAAAGACAUAUAUAUAUGUACAAAAUUAUGAAAAUAUAAAAAAAAAACAUAUGUGUGUACACAUGAAUUAUAAACCAUAGAAAUAUCAUAAGAAAAUAUAAAUUUUUAAAAUAUAAGAGUAUGUAUAAAUACAUAUAUGCAUAUUUAUGAAAAAUAAAAGAGAUACAUGUAAGUACGUAUAUACAUAAAAAAUUUAAAAUGCAAAUAUAAAUAUAUUCAUGUAUAUAAGAAUAAUAAUAAAAGGCGUAUAUAUAUGCAUGUGAAUAUUAAGUAUGUACAUAUGAAUGUAUAUAAUAUAUAUAUAAACUAUAUAUAUAAAAAAAAUAUGGUAAUGAAAUAUAUACGCACUAUAUAUAUUUAAAACAUUUAGAAAUAAAAAUAUACACAUACAUUAUAAAGUACACAUGCGUGUAUGUAUGUAAGUAUAAUAAAAAAAUAAUAAUAGUAAUAAUAAUAAUAAUAAUAAUAACUAUAUUAAUAAAAUAAACUAAAAACUUAAAAUGAAAGAUUAUGGAUUAAAUUGAAAAUAAUUGAAGUUUCAGGGGCAAAUCUGAAACAAACAAAACACCAAUGAAUCGAAUGGAACAUGCAGUUAACAGUGGAGGACCGAAAGUCAAAUUAAUCCCUCCGUCCAAAACUCCACGCAGCAAUGGAUUAAAAUAAAACAAAUUCGACAUUUCAUGGCAAAAUUUGAAAACAAACCGCAAUGAUUUUGAACUGAUGGGAUAAAAUGAAGGAUUAAAACGCAAAUAACCCAUCAGUGUUUAAAACCCUUUUCAUCUCCAAUUAAAAGCCUACUCUGCAGCAGCAAUAGACGCAAAGUUGCUUCAUCUUCCUUUUUUCUUUUUUUGUUUUAAAACAACAGAGGGAAGAAAGAGGGAUCUGCUAGGCCUUCUUUAAAGCCCUAACUACCGCCACGCCACCGCCUUUCAAGCUUCGCCGCCGAUUCCGAUUCAGGUAAGUUUCGCCCUUUCCUUUUUUGCCUUUUCUUUUGCACCAAAAACAGAGAAGCAAAGAGAAAAAAAAAUAAAAUAAAUAAAACACAAAGAAAAUUACCUUCAAAAAUUGUUUUUGAUUCUUUGUUUGUAUUUCAGUAUUUUUCCAAUACAAUAUUUUUCUCUUUUUAGUACCCAAUCCCCCUUUUCUUUGUGAUCGAUUUUGGCUUUUUAAAACCGAUCUAUAAAACAUUCAUUUCCUAUUUUUUGUUUUCGUUCUUUUGUUUAUUCUUUUCCCCAUUCCUCGCAUGCUUCCUUUUGCUGUUGUUUUUGUCUCUGUUGCAGGUGUGUCCGGUGGGGGUGGUGCACGUGAUGGCCAAGGGCAGAGGUAGCAUGGGGCGACUGAUCAGAGGCGUGCAUGCGUGAGGGGAGGUGAAGCGGCGGCAGCUACAAAGCAUGAGGCUAGGGUUUUUUUGUUUGGUUGAAAACUAGUAUAGUUUGGGCCAUUCGGGCCUCUAAGGUUUUUAUCAUUAUUGGGCAUUUGGAUUGGGUCUGUUUUUUGGGUUAAUUUUGUUGUAAUGGUCUGUUAAUUUUUAUUAGUCUUGGUCCAUUUGGGUUUUAUGGUCUGGGCCCGGGCAAAAAUGGGCUUUUACACUAAAUAAUAAAAAAUGUUAUUUUGAAAACUUACAUUAAUCCUGAAAAUGUAAGAUUACUUAAACCCAACAGUAGCAUAAACUAAUACUGAUUGCAAUUCCGUUUACUCUUUGUUUGAUGGUUCUCCUAAGGCCUGUAGAA